rnacentral:snRNA from 1 species
ACGCAGCCAUGUGGUGAGUACAAAGCGAACUAUUUCUUUCGCCUUUUACUAAAGAAUACCGUGUGCUCUCGACGCUAAGUGCAUACGCCUAUUUUUGGAGGGCUCCACUUCUCUGUGGAACCCAA